rnacentral:rRNA from 1 species
GAAGUCAGUCGAAGAUACCAGCUGGCUGCAACUGUUUAUUAAAAACACAGCACUGUGCAAACACGAAAGUGGACGUAUACGGUGUGACGCCUGCCCGGUGCCGGAAGGUUAAUUGAUGGGGUUAUCGCAAGAGAAGCUCCUGAUCGAAGCCCCGGUAAACGGCGGCCGUAACUAUAACGGUCCUAAGGUAGCGAAAUUCCUUGUCGGGUAAGUUCCGACCUGCACGAAUGGCGUAAUGAUGGCCAGGCUGUCUCCACCCGAGACUCAGUGAAAUUGAACUCGCUGUGAAGAUGCAGUGUACCCGCGGCAAGACGGAAAGACCCCGUGAACCUUUACUACAGCUUGACACUGAACAUUGAGCCUUGAUGUGUAGGAUAGGUGGGAGGCUUUGAAGCGUGGACGCCAGUCUGCGUGGAGCCGACCUUGAAAUACCACCCUUUAAUGUUUGAUGUUCUAACCUGGCGCCGUGAUCCGGCGUGGGGACAGUGUCUGGUGGGUAGUUUGACUGGGGCGGUCUCCUCCCAAAGUGUAACGGAGGAGCACGAAGGUCAGCUAAUCCUGGUCGGACAUCAGGAGGUUAGUGCAAUGGCAUAAGCUGGCUUGACUGCGAGAGUGACGGCUCGAGCAGGUGCGAAAGCAGGUCAUAGUGAUCCGGUGGUUCUGUAUGGAAGGGCCAUCGCUCAACGGAUAAAAGGUACUCCGGGGAUAACAGGCUGAUACCGCCCAAGAGUUCAUAUCGACGGCGGUGUUUGGCACCUCGAUGUCGGCUCAUCACAUCCUGGGGCUGAAGUAGGUCCCAAGGGUAUGGCUGUUCGCCAUUUAAAGUGGUACGCGAGCUGGGUUUAGAACGUCGUGAGACAGUUCGGUCCCUAUCUGCCGUGGGCGCUGGAGAAUUGAGGGGGGCUGCUCCCAGUACGAGAGGACCGGAGUGGACGCAUCACUGGUGUUCGGGUUGUCAUGCCAAUGGCACUGCCCGGUAGCUAAAUGCGGAAGAGAUAAGUGCUGAAAGCAUCUAAGCACGAAACUUGCCCCGAGAUGAGUUCUCCCUGAGACUAUAAGUCUCCUGAAGGAACGUUGAAGACGACGACGUUGAUAGGCCGGGUGUGUAAGCGCAGCGAUGCGUUGAGCUAACCGGUACUAAUGAACCGUGAGGCUUAACCUU